CUAGAAUACAAAGAAAGUUGUUUGAGGGUUCUUAUAUGUCUAUAUAUAUUUACUUCUAUAUAUGUAUAUACACAUACACAUAAUACAUACACAUAUGAAUAUGUAAAAAAGCACUUUCUGCCAUGGGUUCAGAUGCAAGGAGUAUUACACAGAUGGAUACACUGAUUUAUCCUUUCUGGAACAACUUUAGGCAGUCUGGAUUUCCUUUCCUCUGCUAUUCAGAAACCAAAAAAGAAGUUCAAGAAGAUCUAUAUUAAACUUCAGCUGUUGAUCUGUCUCCUCUCUGGACUUGACCCAGGCUGAACAUAUCUUACCCAGUUCGGUUAUUCUAAGACCUUACAGCCUGGUGUAUGCAAAUUAAUGUCCCCUAUAUAAGAUCUGCCCAGAAGUGAAGAGAAUACAAGGUUUAUACUUAACUUUCAGCAGAUAGAUAUAGAUAUAGAUAUAGAUGUAGAUGUAGAUGUAGAUGUAGAUGUAGAUGUAGAUAGAGAUAUAGAUAUAGAUAUAGAUAUAGAUAUAGAUAGACAGAUAUAUAUAAGUGCUUUGCUGAAUAAGUCUUUGCCCAAGAACAUGCUUAUUUCUGAUUCAAGGCUACACUACUAGAUCAAUAGAAACACCAGAGGCAUUCAUCAUUGGCCCUUUCUCCCAAAGACCUCAAAAAAGCCAGGAUUCUCUAGGUAAGAACAAGAUUUAUUCCAUCAGAAUCAAAAGCAAAGCUUAUGAGAGCCUGUGUGACACGUGCCCAUGGCACUAAGCACACAGCAGUGUCACUGCCCUGGGUGCUGCUCCCUGGUCUUGGGCCCUCCUAAGAUCAAACCUCACAAAUGUGGAGCUGGCUAAGUGUGGAAACAGCAUGUUUGUGACUUGGUCUCAGUCCAGUAUGAGUAUCCCAUAAGGACACAGUUGUGAAUCCUCAUAAUUUCUACAGUCUUUUCUCCAAAGCCUUCUUUAGUUUUGGUUUGGGCUUUUUGUUGUUGUUGCUGUUCUUUUUGUUUGGGAUUUUUUGUUGGGAUUUUGGUUUUUGUUUUUCUUUUUGUUUUUUUGGGUUUUUUUUUUUGUGUGUGUUUUUUUUUUGGGGUGGGGGGUUGGGGCAGGGAGAAGGAUGUUGGCAUAUAUUAUUUGUUUUAUAUCUCAGCUCCAUCUCUUUGGGACAGACUUAUAUCAUCCUCCUAACUAUUUGGGGUACUGUAGCACAAGUCUUGGCUGUGUACCAGGGCAGAAAAUCUGGUGCUGCUGCAGCACAAACAGAUCUGGAGACUGAGCAUAAACCAGUUUCUGUGUUUCCACACAGCACUUUUCUGAUCCCACAUAACCAAACCCAUACUUGGCAAGGAGGGAAUGAAUCAGACAUCUUUCCAUCUGGAAAAUCAUCAUCCUGUUCUUCAUGUAUGGGAGGAGGAGAGGGGAAGUAUCAAUCUUCUCCUCACCAUCAGUGAGCCCUGAUAAACAUGUAGUUUGGCAGCCUGAAUAACAAACUUCUCAUGGUCUUUUGUGGUAAUCAGCAAGCAGAAAAGUACAAAAGUCCUACUGCUGAAAACCUGAGGAGCUUUGUCUUGGGAGGGUGAACAUGCUACCUCUUGGGCUUGCCUUCCUCAAAAAGAAAAAUAUGUGGUGCUAGUCAGGGGAGCAGCCAGAUCUGGAAGGCCAUGUGCUGGUUUUGGCUCGCUGAAGAAAGCCAGCAUCUGGUUCAGCUCUGUUUCAAAGUUAAAAUUUCUUAAAUGGAGCCAAAUAUUUAAAUAAUAUUAAUAAUUUUAUUUCCUGAAUAUUAACUAUGGUAUAUGGUAAAAUGACUUCUGUACCUGCAAUAAAGGGCUUUUAGAGCUUGUGAGCUGCUCA
ensembl:lncRNA